rnacentral:rRNA from 1 species
GACGAACGCUGGCGGCGUGCUUAACACAUGCAAGUCGAACGGAAAGGCCCAGCUUGCUGGGUGCUCGAGUAGCGAACGGGUGAGUAACACGUGGGUGAUCUGCCCCUAACUUCGGGAUAAGCUUGGGAAACUGGGUCUAAUACCGGAUAGGACAAUCGUUUAGUGUCGGUUGUGGAAAGUUUUUUCGGUUAGGGAUGAGCCCGCGGCCUAUCAGCUUGUUGGUGGGGUAAUGGCCUACCAAGGCGUCGACGGGUAGCCGGCCUGAGAGGGUGGACGGCCACAUUGGGACUGAGAUACGGCCCAGACUCCUACGGGAGGCAGCAGUGGGGAAUAUUGCACAAUGGGCGCAAGCCUGAUGCAGCGACGCCGCGUGGGGGAUGACGGCCUUCGGGUUGUAAACCUCUUUCGACAGGGACGAAGCUUUGGUGACGGUACCUGUAUAAGAAGCACAGGCUAACUACGUG